UUUCCGUAGGUGAACCUGCGGAAGGAUCAUUCAUAAUAAAGUGUUUUAUGGCACUUUUUAAAAAUCCAUAUCCACCUUGUGUGCAAUGUUAGAUCUCGUCAAUCUUGGCGAGAUUUUUAUACAUCAACUCAUUCUUUAACUAAUUUGUCUGUAAAAUAUUAUGAAUACUUAAUUCAAAAUACAACUUUCAACAACGGAUCUCUUGGCUCUC
rnacentral:misc_RNA from 1 species